rnacentral:rRNA from 1 species
CAGGCUUAACACAUGCAAGUCGAGGGGCAGCAUGGUCUUAGCUUGCUAAGGCCGAUGGCGACCGGCGCACGGGUGAGUAACACGUAUCCAACCUGCCGUCUACUCUUGGACAGCCUUCUGAAAGGAAGAUUAAUACAAGAUGGCAUCAUGAGUCCGCAUGUUCACAUGAUUAAAGGUAUUCCGGUAGACGAUGGGGAUGCGUUCCAUUAGAUAGUAGGCGGGGUAACGGCCCACCUAGUCUUCGAUGGAUAGGGGUUCUGAGAGGAAGGUCCCCCACAUUGGAACUGAGACACGGUCCAAACUCCUACGGGAGGCAGCAGUGAGGAAUAUUGGUCAAUGGGCGCAGGCCUGAACCAGCCAAGUAGCGUGAAGGAUGACUGCCCUAUGGGCUGUAAACUUCUUUUAUAAAGGAAUAAAGUCGGGUAUGGAUACCCGUUUGCAUGUACUUUAUGAAUAAGGAUCGGCUAACUCCGUGCCAGCAGCCGCGGUAAUACGGAGGAUCCGAGCGUUAUCCGGAUUUAUUGGGUUUAAAGGGAGCGUAGAUGGAUGUUUAAUUCAGUUGUGAAAGUUUGCGGCUCACCGUAAAAAUUGCAGUUGAUACUGGAUAUCUUGAGUGCAGUUGAGGCAGGCGGAAUUCGUGGUGUAGCGGUGAAAUGCUUAGAUAUCACGAAGAACUCCGAUUGCGAAGGCAGCCUGCUAAGCUGCAACUGACAUUGAGGCUCGAAAGUGUGGGUAUCAAACAGGAUUAGAUACCCUGGUAGUCCACACGGUAAACGAUGAAUACUCGCUGUUUGCGAUAUACUGCAAGCGGCCAAGCGAAAGCGUUAAGUAUUCCACCUGGGGAGCACGCCGGCAACGGUGAAACUCAAAGGAAUUGACGGGGGCCCGCACAAGCGGAGGAACAUGUGGUUUAAUUCGAUGAUACGCGAGGAACCUUACCCGGGCUUAAAUUGCAGAUGAAUUACGGUGAAAGCCGUAAGCCGCAAGGCAUCUGUGAAGGUGCUGCAUGGUUGUCGUCAGCUCGUGCCGUGAGGUGUCGGCUUAAGUGCCAUAACGAGCGCAACCCUUGUUGUCAGUUACUAACAGGUUCCGCUGAGGACUCUGACAAGACUGCCAUCGUAAGAUGUGAGGAAGGUGGGGAUGACGUCAAAUCAGCACGGCCCUUACGUCCGGGGCUACACACGUGUUACAAUGGGGGGUACAGAGGGCCGCUACCACGCGAGUGGAUGCCAAUCCCAAAAACCUCUCUCAGUUCGGACUGGAGUCUGCAACCCGACUCCACGAAGCUGGAUUCGCUAGUAAUCGCGCAUCAGCCACGGCGCGGUGAAUACGUUCCCGGGCCUUGUACACACCGCCCGUCAAGCCAUGGGAGCCGGGGGUACCUGAAGUGCGUAACCGCGAGGAGCGCCCUAGGGUAAAACUGGUGACUG